rnacentral:rRNA from 1 species
AAACAUCGCCUCUUGUUUCAUAUAAGAGGUCCCGCCUGCCCAGUGAUUUAAUUUAACGGCCGCGGUAUCCUAACCGUGCGAAGGUAGCGUAAUCACUUGUUCUUUAAAUAAGGACUAGUAUGAAAGGCCCCACGAAGGUUAUACUGUCUCCUAUUUCCAAUCAGUGAAACUAAUCUUCCCGUGAAGAAGCGGGAAUUACCCAAUAAGACGAGAAGACCCUAUGGAGCUUUAAACACAAUACCAAGUACUCUAACUUUACAAAUUUAUGAAUUGCAUAUAACACAGUACUAUGGCUAUUAGUUUUAGGUUGGGGUGACCGCGGAGAAAAAUUUAACCUCCACAUUGAAAGAUAAUUCUAAGCUAAAAGUUACAACUUCAAGCAUCAGUAUACUGACAUUAAUUGACCCAAUUAAUUUGAUCAACGAACCAAGUUACCCUAGGGAUAACAGCGCAAUCUACUUCAAGAGCUCCUAUCGACAAGUGGGUUUACGACCUCGAUGUUGGAUCAGGGUGUCCCAGUGGUGCAGCCGCUACUAAAGGUUUGUUUGUUCAACAAUUAAAACCCUACGUGAU